GUCUGCGGCCAUACGACCCUGAACAAGCCAGAUCCCCUCUGAUCUCAGAAGCUAAGCAGGGUCGAGCCUGGUUAGUAAUUGGAUGGGAGAUCACCUAGGAAGAACAGGUGCUGUAGGUG
rnacentral:rRNA from 1 species